rnacentral:rRNA from 1 species
AGUUGAUCCUGGCUCAGGAUGAACGCUGGCGGUGUGCCUUAAGCAUGCAAGUCGAACGGGUUUAGUAGCAAUACUAGACCAGUGGCGGACGGGUGAGUAUAACGUAGGAAUCUACCUUAAAGUGUGGAAUAGCCCCGCGAAAGCGGGGGUAAUACCGCAUGUGAUCCGGCGUAAGCCGGAUUAAAGGCCAUAACUGGCCGCUUUAAGAGGAGCCUGCGCCCUAUCAGCUAGUUGGCGGGGUAAUAGCCCACCAAGGCGAUGACAGGUAGGGGGUGUGAGAGCAUGACCCCCCACAAGGUCACUGAGACACGGGACCUACACCUACGGGUGGCAGCAACUGGGAAUCUUGCGCAAUGGACGAAAGUCUGACGCAGCGACACCGCGUGUGGGAUGAAGUAUUUCGGUAUGUAAACCACUGUGGCGAGGGAUAAAGAUCUGAUAGUACCUCGCUAGAAAGCAUCUGCUAACUACGUGCCAGAAGCCUCGGCAAUGCGUGGGAUGCAAGCGUUAUCCGGAUUUACUGGGCGUAAAGGGUUUCGCAGGCGGAUUGUUAAGUCUAGUCUUAAAUACUGAGGCUCAACCUCAGCUACAGGAUUGGAUACUAGCAGUCUUGAGGAUAUCAGGG